UUGCUUCAGCAGCACACGUACUAAAACUGGAACGAUACAGAGAAGAUUGGCAUGGUCCCUGAGCAAGGAUGGCAGGCAAAUUUGUGAAGCAUUCUAUACUUUC
ensembl:snRNA U6 U6 spliceosomal RNA